rnacentral:misc_RNA from 1 species
CGUCGUAGCAAUAACCCAGUCGUCGGGCCUCCCAAUCUAAAGCUGCGAUCUUUUGCUUUCUUCUCAUUCUCUAUCUAACGCCAUGUCUCAGGUCGAUAACAGAAAUUCCUCCGCAGCCAAGCGGGCUAGAACUGACGGUAGUCGCAGGGAAGAUGAUUGGACAUGUCCAAGUUGUGGCAAUGUCAAUUUUUCAUUUAGGACAACUUGCAAUAUGCGUAAUUGCACCCAGCCCAGGCCAGCUGAUCAUAACUCAAAAUCUGCUGCCAAGCCAAUGCAAGCCCCACAGAGUUACUCAUCUUCAGCUCCUUAUGUAGGUUCUGGUGCACCUUCUUCAAUGUAUAUGGGUGUGCCACCAUAUGGAUCAUCCCUUUUCAAUGGAUCUUCUUUUGCUCCAUAUGAUGUUGCAUUUCCUGGGGGUUCAGCUUAUCAUUAUAAUUACAGCAGCCGCCUUUCUGCUGGCAGCCCGUACAGGCCACUGCAUAUGUCUGGACCGCCUCCUUUUUCUGGUGGAUCUAUGAUGGGGAAUGGUGGGAUGUAUGGUAUGCCACCCUUGAUGGACCGGUAUGGGUUGGGUAUGCCAAUGGGCCCUGCUGCAAUGGUAUGUAUAUGUUACUUUUUCCACCAUUGAAGUUUGGAAUUUACAUUACAAAAGAUGGGAUUUAAUAUUUUGACAUGAUACUUAAACUUUUAUCUGUGGUUAAACUUUUAUCUGUGGCGAAUUAUGGAAUUUGUGUGUAUCGAUGGUGAUUAGUUGAUAAGCAUCUUAAAAUUUUUUUGAACAGCAUUGACUUCUCAGUAUCAUUGAGUCUGUAUUUUUUAGUGCUGUGCACCUUGCCAUCUAUUUUCUGAAAUGCAAAAUCACAAAACAACAUGCAUAGACACUUCUAAAAUUUUCAGUCAUUUUAAACAUGAUGUUGAGUUUAGAGAUUCACUUUCUUUUUGACCAGGGGCCUAGGCCAGGCUUCUUUCCAGAUGAUAAAUCUCUGAAAAAGGGUGCAGAUGCAACGCGGGAUAACGACUGGACAUGUCCAAAAUGUGGGAAUGUCAACUUCUCUUUUAGAACUGUUUGUAACAUGAGGAAGUGCAAUACACCAAAGCCGGGAUCCCAGGUUUGUUCUGCUUUUAUACUUCAAUAUAUUAGAACGAAUUUAUAGGAAUUGUGUUUGUUCAUGUUGUUCCUUUGUCAUAUAAUUACCUUUUGUUGCUAACAUUCUAUUGUUUGGGAAUUGAGAUUAGAAAUUUAUUUUGGUCGUUAGCAUCUUUGUUGGUUUAGCUUGUUAUUUUGUUUAGUAAUGGUAAUUUGUUUGAUUUCUCAUUUCUGACAAUACCCUCUUGCAAUUGCAGCCUGCAAAGUCAGAGAAAAAUUCCAGACAAAAAAUGCCUGAGGGAAGCUGGAAGUGUGAGAAAUGUAACAACAUAAAUUAUCCAUUCAGGACCAAGUGCAAUAGACAGAAUUGUGGAGCUGAGAAACCCGCUCAAUCAAAGAAGUCCCCUUCACCAGUGGCAGAUGAGAAUGAUCAGGUUUGUUAUGUGAUUCAUCUUGUUUGUAUUUCUGUUUGUUGCUUGAUACUGUUGUCUUUAUCAAUUACAUGUGUAUUCACAAACUCAAUGAGCAUUAGUAAGAUGUUUCUAAUAAGGCAAACUCUUCCUCCUUAUUUCUCUCUCUUACCCUUACUCUCAGCCCCAUCUCUGUUAUUCUGUAGAUCUAUUUACCUUGUUAAUUGUCGAUUAUAUUUCCACUAUGCAACAAUUGAUUUGCAAUUGUCUACUGUUCCAGUGAGUUCUAGGACAUGUUUGAGGUUUGAGAAGGUCCAGAGUUGUCGUCCAGCAUUGCUCAAUAUGGGUGUCUGAAAGUCAGUUGUGUCAUCCUCAUGUUGCAGCGGUUGUCAAGUUACUCUACCUUCUCAUGAUGUCUGUCAAGUUGUAUUACUUGUGAUAAUAUUUUUGGUCUUUAUGGAUCCUUUUAUGCACUAUGUGUCUGCCAGAUUGAUCUGGCAAACAUUCUACAGGUUGGUUCUGGUUUCCUAUUAGUUAGGCUUUUGUAAUUUUUGGCAUCAACUCAUCUAUUCCAGUGGGUAUGCUACCAUGAACUUAGAAAACUGCAGGCAGCAUGUUUCAUGUUCAUUUGGGUUGUUGUCUCUAUGCCAUUCAGUAUCACUGUUUCAGUAGAUGCUUCUGUUGGAAGCGAAUGGGAUACCAAGUUCAAAACUUAAUUAUGUCUCCACUAGCAAAUAAGUCCGAUAGUUGUGUAGUUUGAAUCAAUGCAGCAACCAUUUCCCCCUGUAUAGUUGCCUGUAAUAUGGUCAUGUGACUCGUAAAAAUUAGGUGGUCUAGACUUUAAAAAGUUUUCAUUACCCACUCGUAUAGUUUCUGGAAGCUUUGAUAGUGUGGCUAUCAUGUGCUUGUCUUAGUUAACUAACUGUAAUUGUUGGCUAUUGCUUUAAGGUUCAUGGAUUUAAUAUUUGUAAUUGUACCUUUGCAAGCGCUGAUUUCCUCACCUGUUAGUGUUAGCCUGUUUCAGCAUUCAUCGUUUGUUGCUUAGUGACAACUCUGUUCUCAAUUUGGUCCAUAUUCAGUCCAAGAUGAUUUCAGCUUGCAAUUUGAUUGUGUGAGGAUCCACCUAUCCUCAUGUUUUCCUAUUAAUGUUCAUUUUGAGUAGAAAACUAUCACCUCAAUCAGGAGUUUAGAAGACUAGUAGGAUUUUGGAUUUUGAAAAUUUUAAAUAUGAAUUUGAAUCUCAAGAUGGACCAAGUGGUGGUUCUCUAUGGAACAAAUCUGUUGUUUUAAUAUCAUUAGAGUACCUGAGAUUUUAGUAAAUUCAAAUUUAGCUUAAACUAAAGCAUCAUUUAUAGCACUGAGUGAUUCCAGCAGGCAGUAUCUUGGUGCUGUUGAAUUACACUUGAGCUUUGGAUGGUUGGUGCCUUUCCAGCCUGGUAUGCUUCAAGUCACAAGUGUGGUUUGUAUUUGAAGCUGGGUUAAAAAGAGUAAAAUUUCCAAUCCAUCUUCCCGGUAAUGAAUGCUAUGCGCAGCAUGGUUGAGGUGAAAAGAUAGCACACCCAAUUUGUUGUGGGCGAGGCGAUGAGAUUUGGUAUGUUUCUUUUUAGUUGUGGGUGUGCUCUGGACUGUAUUUUUCUCUGCUCGGUGCUCAAGUAGCCAAUCCAUUUUUUUGUGUGACAAUAGAUUUUUCUAUGCUCCUGGUCCAUGCAUAAAGUGGGAACAAAUGGAAGGACCAAUAAUUAUUAGUAGGAGGAGAAGAGUUGGAAUGGAAAGGAAGCCAUGGUGCUAUUUCAGAAUCAUGCAUUUGAUUACGUGGAAGUAUUUGAGUGAUUUUCUUAAUAAUAUCUGAUUUUGGGAUUAAAAAUCGAGUAGGGAGGGUUUUAGAUUAAGGUUUAUUUUGUUCAUGGUUGGGAUUAAUUUUUUUAACAACAUUUUGAAAAUAUAAAUUUUUAAUAUUAUUAUUUUAGUUGAAAAUGUAAAAAAGAAAUGGCAUAGUCAAAGCGAGCGACAGCCACCUGUUAACGAUUGAGACUUGGGGAUGUGGUAUGCCGACUUGUACGAUUUUAAAAGUAAUUUAUAAUUUUUGGUAAUAGAUAUUUUUUCGGCAAAUAUAAAUUAGAAAAAUAUAUUCGUGAUGUACAAUUUUUUUUACAACUUGCCAUAUUUGAUUUAAUUUAUUUCAAUUUCA